GGGCCCGCACAAGCGGAGGAACAUGUGGUUUAAUUCGAUGAUACGCGAGGAACCUUACCUGGGCUUAAAUGUAGAGUGCAUGAAGUAGAAAUAUUUCUUUCCUUCGGGACUCUUUGCAAGGUGCUGCA
rnacentral:rRNA from 1 species